GAUAAGAGAGCAAAUCAAGAAAUACAGGCGCCAUUUUUUAAGAGUAAGAGAUUUUGGUUUAUUAUUCUUGAUUGUCACCUUAGGACUGUGGCUUUAAAUUGCUUCAGACAACUAUUGUUAUCCUGAAAAUAGAUAAUCCCCACUUUACCAAGUCUGGGAGCACCUGCAAAGGGUAAGGGUACAUUGACUUUUUUGGGCUACUCUUUCAUACUCUAUGCUUUAAGAAAAUGAAUGUACAUAGGUAAGAAUUAUAGAACAGGCAGAUAAUUGCUGAUGUUGUCUACCUGCAGUUUUGUCAUAACAACAAAAAGGCCCAGCGGUACCUUCUUCAUGGUUUGGAAUGUGUGGUAGCAAUGCAUCAAGCUCAGUUGAUCUCCAAGAUUCCACAUAUCUUGAAGGAGAUGUAUGAUGCAGACCUUUUAGAGGAAGAGGUCAUUAUCAGCUGGUCAGAAAAGGUAAGGAACCACAUAAGUUAUGUUAAAAUGCUUCAGAAGCAUCAGAAUGGCUAUUGGGGCAUAUGUUAUGAGGAAGUUGUGUCUAAUAGACGCAGUUUUCUCUAUGAUGUUGAAUUCUAUACUUGGGUAAUGUGUAUGUGUGUUCUGUCUACUGAAGGUUAGGGUGUGAACCAAGCCCUUUAAAUAGCUAAUUCAUUGUACAUGUGACUUAAAUUACAUUUUUCAAAUCUUCACCAAGAAAAUUCUGGGCUUUUUUUAGGCCUCUAAGAAAUAUGUCUCAAAAGAACUUGCCAAAGAGAUUCGUGUCAAAGCAGAGCCAUUUAUUAAAUGGUUGAAGGAAGCGGAGGAGGAAUCUUCUGGUGGUGAGGA
rnacentral:lncRNA from 1 species